AGGUCUUAGUGUUCGUUCCACGUACUGCCGAUUGCAGCAGCAGAUAUACAGUAUUCUGUUGGUGGAGUCACAGGUUCCUGCAGUUGCAGCAUUCUCCGCAGUGGAAUAUCCCCCCCAUUUCCUUUGUAACUGAGAUCCUACUGUCCGUCCCGCGUGCUGCCAGUUGGAGCUGCAUCCAGCAGAUAUACAGUGU